GAGUUUGAGUCCUGGCGUCACGGAUGAACGCUGGCGGCGUGCUUAACACAUGCAAGUCGAACGGUGAACACGGAGCUUGCUCUGUGGGAUCAGUGGCGAACGGGUGAGUAACACGUGAGCAACCUGACCCCUGACUCUGGGAUAAGCGCUGGAAACGGCGUCUAAGUACUGGAUACGGAACCAUGAAGGCAUCGUUCAGUCGGUUGGAAAGAAGUUUCGGUUCGGGGAUGGGCUCGCGGCCUAUCAGCUUGUUGGUGAGGUAAUGGCUCACCAAGGCGUCGACGGGUAGCCGGCCUGAGAGGGUGACCGGCCACACUGGGACUGAGACACGGCCCAGACUCCUACGGGAGGCAGCAGUGGGGAAUAGUUGCACAAUGGGGCGCAAGCCUGAUGCAGCAACGCCGCGUGAGGGAUGACGGCCUUCGGGUUGUAAACCUCUUUUAGCAGGGAAGAAGCGAAAGUGACGGUACCUGCAGAAAAAGCGCCGGCUAACUACGUG
rnacentral:rRNA from 1 species